rnacentral:rRNA from 1 species
UUAAAUUGAAGAGUUUGAUCAUGGCUCAGAUUGAACGCUGGCGGCAGGCCUAACACAUGCAAGUCGAACGGUAACAGGAAGCAGCUUGCUGCUUCGCUGACGAGUGGCGGACGGGUGAGUAAUGUCUGGGAAACUGCCUGAUGGAGGGGGAUAACUACUGGAAACGGUAGCUAAUACCGCAUAACGUCGCAAGACCAAAGAGGGGGACCUUCGGGCCUCUUGCCAUCGGAUGUGCAGAUGGGAUUAGCUAGUAGGUGGGGUAACGGCUCACCUAGGCGACGAUCCCUAGCUGGUCUGAGAGGAUGACCAGCNACACUGGAACUGAGACACGGUCCAGACUCCUACGGGAGGCAGCAGUGGGGAAUAUUGCACAAUGGGCGCAAGCCUGAUGC